UAGAAUAUCCUGUCAAAGGCCAUUCUGCCC
rnacentral:piRNA from 1 species